rnacentral:rRNA from 1 species
UUGUUGGUAAGGUAAAAGCUUACCAAGGCUUCGAUCAGUAGCUGGUCUGAGAGGACGACCAGCCACACUGGGACUGAGACACGGCCCAGACUCCUACGGGAGGCAGCAGUGGGGAAUUUUGGACAAUGGGGGCAACCCUGAUCCAGCCAUGCCGCGUGAGUGAAGAAGGCCUUCGGGUUGUAAAGCUCUUUCAGCCGGAACGAAACGGUUACGGUUAAUACCCGUAACUAAUGACGGUACCGGAAGAAGAAGCACCGGCUAACUACGUGCCAGCAGCCGCGGUAAUACGUAGGGUGCGAGCGUUAAUCGGAAUUACUGGGCGUAAAGCGUGCGCAGGUGGUUUUGUAAGUCAGAUGUGAAAGCCCCGGGCCCAACCUGGGAACUGCGUUUGAAACUACAAGACUAGAGUGUGGCAGAGGGGGGUGGAAUUCCGCGUGUAGCAGUGAAAUGCGUAGAGAUGUGGAGGAACACCGAUGGCGAAGGCAGCCCCCUGGGUCAACACUGACGCUCAGGCACGAAAGCAUGGGGAGCAAACAGGAUUAGAUACCCUGGUAGUCCAUGCCCUAAACGAUGUCAACUAGUUGUCGGGCCUUUACGGGCUUGGUAACGUAGCUAACGCGUGAAGUUGACCGCCUGGGGAGUACGAUCGCAAGAUUAAAACUCAAAUGAAUUGACGGGGACCCGCACAAGCGGUGGAUUAUGUGGAUUAAUUCGAUGCAACGCGAAAAACCUUACCUACCCUUGACAUGUAUCGAAGCCCGCAGAAAAGCGGAGGUGCCCGAAAGGGAACGAUAACACAGGUGCUGCAUGGCUGUCGUCAGCUCGUGUCGUGAGAUGUUGGGUUAAGUCCCGCAACGAGCGCAACCCUUGUCAUUAAUUGCCAUCAUUUAGUUGGGCACUUUAAUGAGACUGCCGG